GCCGCAUUAGCUCACCAGGUUAGAGCGCUUCCUUAGUAACGAAGAGGUACGGGGUUCGAGGCCUCGAUGCGGCUC
rnacentral:tRNA from 1 species